AUGUUUGUAAGUGUGUUGAACAUUCUUGAAGUGACUAACACACACCACAACUUUCCUGUGACGCUCAUGCUGGAUCUUGACGUAAGUCCAUCUGCAGACCAUAGCAGAGAUGACCACGCAGAAACUCUGACCUGUAGACCGGGUCACGGCACCACCGGACGACAGAUUGUGGAGGAGCUCAAGAGGACAGCAGCAGACGUGAGGAGCGAGGAGCAGCCAUCCCUGAGGUGUGUCUGUACGAGAAGCCUCCAUCUGAGCCGCAGGCACCUGGCCAGAUAUCAGCAGCCUGCACCCCGGUCAAGCCACUGUCCCACACCACGGAGAACUUCAAUUACAGUGGGAUUCUCAGAGCGGAGAGCGAGGGGCUUGCAUUGAUUGAGGAGGGCAACAAUUGAUUUUGUCCAUUACGUGGUGAGAAUGUUUCCAUCCUGCGCAGAUCAGGCUGCCCUCCUCCUGUGGGUGGAGAUAAGAGGCCGCUGCAUUGUGGCUGCCUAAUCUGUGUGACGGCGCUUGUCUGUGCUGAAAUUGAUGUGGCUUUUCAUGCGGCCGCGUGUGGGUCUGCGUCGGUGGUGGGGGUCUGUUCCUCCGCACCCCGUCUCAGAUCCACUCGGAGCGCUGAGUGCCGCUCACAUCAGCAAACAUGAGGGGAUUUGCAUCGAUACAGAUAUUUGCCUUGCAUUUGUUCCACAGGAUGUUUCUAAAGAGUAUAAAGGCAUUUGUAAUGAUGUCUGUGACUUGUUGAAUUCUUGAGCCUUUAUUGUCCUUACAGUGGGAUGCGGGUCAGAAGAGGGUCAGAAGUAUUAAUACAAAGGAUUAAAACCAUGUUAAUCUGUAAAUAGGAGAGUUUUGUAAGGAAUUUUUAUUGAGCUCUUUAACUAUAAUGCAUUCAAAUGCUGCCACACAAAUGCGCAAUCAACAAUACCCUUAAAAUUCAAUAUUAAAUAAAAAUGUAGCUUUCUUAAAUAAUAUGCUGUUU
ensembl:lncRNA